GGGCUAAUACCGGAUAAUACAUGAAACCGCAUGGUUUCAUGAUGAAAGACGGUUUUGCUGUCACUUAUAGAUGGACCCGCGGCGUAUUAGCUAGUUGGUAAGGUAACGGCUUACCAAGGUAACGAUACGUAGCCGACCUGAGAGGGUGAUCGGCCACACUGGAACUGAGACACGGUCCAG
rnacentral:rRNA from 1 species